GCCGGGCGUGGUGGCUGACAUCUGUAAUUCCAGCACUUUGGGAGGCUGAGGCAGGCAGAUCACUUGAGCCCAGGAGAUGGAGGUUGCGGUGGGCUGAGAUUGUGCCAUUGCACUCCAGNNNNNNNNNNCUGGAGUGCAAUGGCACAAUCUCAGCCCACCGCAACCUCCAUCUCCUGGGCUCAAGCGAUUCUCCUGCCUCAG
rnacentral:SRP_RNA from 1 species